rnacentral:rRNA from 1 species
UGUUCGGUUAAGUCCGCUAACGAGCGCAACCCUUCGCCGUGUGUUAUACGUGUCACGCGGGACCGCCGGUAUCAAGCCGGAGGAAGGUGAGGAUGACGUCAAGUCAGCAUGGCCUUUAUAUCCUGGGCUACACACACGCUACAAUGGCCAACACAACAGGUUGCGAAACCGCGAGGUGGAGCCAAUCCCCAAAGUUGGUCUCAGUUCAGAUUGCAGGCUGCAACUCGCCUGCAUGAAGUCGGAGUUGCUAGUAACGGCAGGUCAGCAUACUGCCGUGAAUACGUUCCCGGGCCUU